UACGUAGGGGGCAAGCGUUAUCCGGAUUUACUGGGUGUAGAGGGAGCGUAGGCGGUGCAGCAAGUCAGAAGUGAAAGCCCGGGGCUCAACUCCGGGACUGCUUUUGAAACUGUUGAACUAGAUUGCAGGAGAGGUAAGUGGAAUUCCUAGUGUAGCGGUGAAAUGCGUAGAUAUUAGGAGGAACACCAGUGGCGAAGGCGGCUUACUGGACUGUAAAUGACGCUGAGGCUCGAAAGCGUGGGGAGCAAACAGG
rnacentral:rRNA from 1 species